AUAAAAAUACAAGAGGUUCAACAACAGACCAUAUUAAGCAGAAGAAAGAAUUUCUGAAUUUGAAGACAGGUCUUUCAAAAUAACAGGACAAGUGCAUCAAGUCACAUAUAAGAGAAUCUCUAUCAGACUAACAGCAGAUGUUCUCAGCAGCAACCUUACAGGCCAUGAGAGAAUGAGAUAUAUUUCAAAAUAGCUAGAAGAUUUGAAAUGUUCCCAACACAAAGAAAUAAUAGAUAUUUGAGUUUAUGGAUAUCUUAAAUAUCCUGAUUUGAUCAUUACGUGUUGUAUACAUGUACCAAAAUAUCAUAUGUACCACAUAAAUAUGUUCAAUUAUUAUGUACCAACAAAAAAAAAGAGAAGAGUUCUACUAUUUUUCAAUAAACUCUCUUAUUCUGUCAAAAAAGCAUAUUAUAAUGUUAUAUUCCCUUCCCCCAUGCAAGGAACAGAAAACGUGCCAUGAAGUGCUAACAGUUCCUAAUGAAUGUUGUAGUGUCCAUAAAAUUAACAAAUUAACAAAUUGUUUUAGUUUACAUUAGGAUUCAUUUUUGGUGUUGUACAUCUAUGGGUUUAGACAAAUGUGUAAAGCCAUGCAUCUUCCAUUAUAGUAUAAUGGAUGAUAAUGAUGUGUCAGUGUAGGUUCACCAAUUAUAACAAAAUUUAACCAAAUUUUCAAUUUUUAAUAUUAUAAAUUGCACUACAAUAAACAACUUGCACAUACGUCUUUGUGCAUUUGUCAGAUUAAUUCAUUAGGAUACAUCCUAAGAAGUAGGAUGUCUAGGUCAAAUAAAAUAUGCAUGUUUGGAGGCAU
rnacentral:lncRNA from 10 species